CACGUAGGGUGCGAGCGUUGUCCGGAAUUAUUGGGCGUAAAGAGCGUGUAGGCGGCUUAUUAAGUCUUGCGUGAAAUCUCGGGGCUCAACCCCGAGCGGUCGUGAGAAACUGGCAGGCUAGAGUGCGGGAGAGGAGAGUGGAAUUCCUGGUGUAGCGGUGAAAUGCGCAGAUAUCAGGAAGAACACCCGUGGCGAAGGCGGCUCUCUGGAACGCAACUGACGCUGAGACGCGAAAGCGUGGGGAGCAAACAGG
rnacentral:rRNA from 1 species